UUAUUUUUUUUUUACUUUUUUUUAUUUUUAAUUUAUUUUUUAUUUUGAGAUUAGUUAAUUGUUUUUGUUAUAGUAUUGUUUUUGAAUUAAUUUUUUUUUGUUAUAUUUUAAUUGUACUGUGAAGGUUUAUUUUUGUUAUAUAUUAAGUAUGAAAAUAUUCUUUACCUUUUGUAUCAGGGUUGAUUUAUUUUUUAUUAAUUAUUUAUUUUUCUCGAAUUGAUUUGAUUUAAUGUGAUAUGUUAGUUAAUAUUUUAUAUUUAUUAAUUAUAUUUUGUUAGUUGUGAUAUGUUAUUUCGUGAAUUAUGAUAUCUAGUUUUCUUGUAAUUGAAUUUAAUUCAGCUGACUUUACUUAUUUUUUUUAUUAUUUAUUUUUUUCUUUAUUGUUAGUAAUAUUAUUUGGGAUAAGCUUUAUAAUUAUUUAUAAUUUUUUUUUAUUUAAUGUUUUGUAGGAUUUAUAAUGUCCAUUAAUUUUAAUUUUUUUAUAAUUUAUUAUUUUUUUUUUUUGAUUUAUUUUUUUUUAGAUUUAUUAUUUGAAUUAUUUAAUUAAUUUUAUGUUUUUUUUUAUUAAUGAUUUAAUUAGUAUAAUUUUGUUUAAUUUAAUGUAAGGAAUUUGGCAAAUAAUUUUAUUCGCUUGUUUAUCAAAAACAUCUUUUAUUUUGUUUAUUUUAGAUAUGACCUGCCCAAUGAUUUUAUUUAAUGGCCGCGGUAAUUUGACCGUGCAAAGGUAGCAUAAUCAUUAGCUUAUUAAUUGUGAGAUGGUAUGAAUGGUUGGACGAGAUAUUAUCUGUCUUCAUAUUAAUAUUUAGAAUUUAAUUUUUGAGUUAAAAAGCUUAAAUUUUUUUAAAGGACGAGAAGACCCUAUAGAUCUUUAUUAUUUUUGUUGUUUGUAUUUUUGGUUUAUUUUUAUUAUUAUUAUUUUAAUUUUUUUGUUGGGGUGACAUUUAGAUAUAAUUAACUCUUUAUUUUUUUUUUCAUUGAUUUAUGUUUAUAUGAUUUUUUAUUAUUUUUAUAAGAAAUAGAUACCUUAGGGAUAACAGCGUAAUUCUUUUUGAGAGUUCAUAUUGACAUUGGAGAUUGCGACCUCGAUGUUGAAUUAAGAUAAUUGGUGGGUGUAGUUGCUUACUUGUUAGGUCUGUUCGACCUUUAAAUUCUUACAUGAUUUGAGUUCAAACCGGCGUGAGCCAGGUUGGUUUCUAUCCUUAAAUUCUUGUUUUAUGUUAGUACGAAAGGACCAUUUAAAUUAAAUAUUUUAUUUAUUUGAAUUUAUAU
rnacentral:rRNA from 1 species